GUUUAAGCGCAGAUUAUUCCUGCCUCUUGAUUUCGGCUCAAGAUGUGAAGAUAGCCCUUCCUUAUACU
rnacentral:tRNA from 1 species